GGGCCUGUAGCUCAGCUGGGAGAGCUCCGCGUUCGCAACGCGGAGGUCGAGGAUUGUUCGUAAAACCACAUCGGGCUCAGCA
rnacentral:tRNA from 1 species